rnacentral:lncRNA from 1 species
AAAUUACAAGAAGGAAUGGAUAUUAAUUAAAUUAAAAUUAUAGAAAGUUCCAUCACCCUUCUUCCCAUGGCCAUAUCUCAUAUCUGCAUCUUCUUCUUCCUUCAGUUUUUUUCCAGUUCUUCCCAUCCCCACACCUGCACCUUCUUCUUCCUUCUUCCCAUGGCCAAAUGAAUGGAAGAAGGCGGAGGAGGACUACUCGGAUCCGGUGCCGCAGACCCCGAUUCAUUUAAAGGAGAAGAAGAUAAAGACGACGGAAGCAAAGAGGUAAAAUUUAAUGGAGGCUCAGCUUGAUGAUGAUCUUUACUUCGAUUUUUGUUGGUUUUCAAUCUGAUUUUUUUCAUUCAACAGAGAGAGAUAGAAGAAAAGUUCAAGGGAGAAGAUUGAAGUACUUUUCUUGCAAAUCUCAGCGUAGUUUAUCAUGGGAUGAGGUCUGCUCGAAAUUGCAAUUUAUUUACUGCAUCUUUGGCCAAAUCAGUCUUGGUUGAAAUUUGAGAUUCCAGCUACAGUUUGACAAUCUUCUUCUCUGUGAUUUAUCUCCGUUCUUUGCUAAUGUAUGUUGUGUUCUUGCUUUUUCCCUAGUAGAGCUGCUUUUCAGUUCCAAAUAUUUUUGGGUAGGAACUGGAGUUGAUUAUUGUGAGGAUUGUACCUUCAGUUGCAAGGUUAGGUUUCACGCAUUGAUAUUUUUUGUUUGGUGUCCUAUAACAGUUCAGUCCAACCAUGUGUCGAUCCUUCUUACUUUAUCAAAUUACUAUCUCAACUACUGGAUUCCUUCAUAGGAAAUUGAAUUCGGGCAAACUUUGUCGUAGGGAGAAGGGACUUGAAGAAGAAGAUAGGUGUUGCAGUGUACAUAGAAUACAAGUCCAACACUCAACACGACGUGAAGGUAGUGUUUGAUGCUACAAUCAAGGUUGUUCUGCAGCCUCCCAAACAAAAGAAGUAAGGACUCCAGAAUAAUGGAUUGUAACCAACUUUUGUAUAUCAUAUUAGUGGCCUAUCAAAUUGGAAUAUGUAGCUGUCCAAUCCCAAAGAUCUUAUUAGCUGAAUCUACAUCCAAUCAAAUGAACAAUCCCUCAUACGACAAAGACGAAUAAUCUCCCGUGUCUGUGUUCCAAGAUGUGGACUUCAUAGACAUACCUGCACUGCCCUGCAGCGAAGCUGGCGCGAAAAGGAUGUCGUUGAGACAUUGAAGAAGUUCUUCUGCUGCGCACAAUAAAGGACCAAGACGAAAUCGGAUUGGUUUUUACUCAACCUGAUUAACCAUCUGAUUCUGGUUCCAUGAAGAAUAUAUCAGCCAACUGAUGCUGCUAUAUCAAAGACAUCAUCCUCCGAACUGCUCACUUAC